rnacentral:lncRNA from 1 species
UUUUUGACCGAUGGGUACGCAAACGGGCGUCAUUAGAUCCAUGUCAACGGGUUCAGGCGGGUGACUAGCUCCCGAGAAAGAGGUGGAACCAAUAUCGUCACAAGAAUCAUCGUCCCGUAAAGAGUCUUUCCCUUUACACUUUGUUACAGAUACGGGCAAACUAGAGUCGUGAACUUUGUGUGCGUUUAAAUGAUUAACGUCUUCUUUAACCGAACCGAAAUGUGAACUUGAUACUUUUAUGAUAUCGGGCAUCAUCUCGCCUGAAACCGGAAGCUUUUGUGAAUCAUGAACUCUCCUCAUUUCUGCUUAUGGUAUAUAACAUUAAUCAGCAUUCUCUUCUUGUCGCUAUCUGAGAUAAACAAAGAGGUGUAACUUGUGGUGAGAUUUGAGCUUCGUGUUGCUGCUACUCAAGUGGUUGUUUGUUAGGGUUUGGGAAGGAGAGAGAGAGAGAGUGUGUGUGUGUUAUGAGUGUGUUAAUGGAGAAUGCAGAGAGAUUUGUUGGUUCUCUGCAUAAAGGUGAACUGUGAAUGCAGAAUGGCAACUGAUGCUAUGAAGAUGACAGCUGAUGACUAUUUGAUAUAUAAAUAA